UUGGAUCUGAUCUCUCGCAAGGUGGAUAAGGUCGAUUGGAGAGUCAGAAAUUCGUCUCACGUGCCCGCAUCUCUCGCUUUCAGUUUAUUUACGAAUCUUAGCCGCACCAACAACAAUCGGACGAUAUAUGGGCUUUUCUUUUCUGGACGCAUUAAUAGGCCCAAUAAGACUAUCGAACAGUUUGUUUCUUUGUUUACAGAGAGCACCACAAAUUUUUUAUUAGAGUCAACUGAGCCCUCUAUCCUUCUCACCUUCAGGUGGGAAAGUCUCUCCGAAUCUGAUACAUUGUAGCACAUGACUUAAAUUACUACUCGUUCAAA